CACCAUGCAUGCCUACGCUCAUGAAAAUUGAAAAUUCUUUGAUGUACUAUCUGAUCAUUUAACUGCAUGAUAUAUUUAGUCUACCAAAUACAUAUUUUACAAUUUCUGCUAAUAUCAUGAAUGCAUGAUUGGAUGUCCGAUCGCAACACUGUGGUUAUAAGCACUUGAAUUGCAGUUUGGUCCUGCUAUUUCGAAUUAAAGUAACGAACAAGCUAUAUUUCUGAGAGUAAUGUUAUGUAACUCAAGAAAGUUCCACCAAUCAUAAUUGAAAUAAAAUAAGAGUGAUAAAUGUUGUGCAAAACGCCUUAAUGAACACAUUUACAUAAAAAAAAAUAAAUAAAAAAAAUAAAAUAAAAUGUGCCUUGAUGGUGAGCUUUGUUUGUCGUGUUACCAACCCUCCAAUUAAGAACUUGUAAUAUAGAAGCUUUGUGGGAAAGCUGCUGGUUGUCUUGGCCCCAUCCAGGUUUCCUGUAUGUUCCAGG